UACAGGGGGUGCAAACGUUGCUCGGAAUCAUUGGGCGUAAAGCGCACGUAGGCGGUCUGUUAUGUCGGAUGUGAAAGCCCUUGGCUCAACUAAGGAAGUGCAUCCGAAACUGGCAGGCUGGAGUACUAAAGAGGGUCGCGGGAAUUCCCGGUGUAGAGGUGAAAUUCGUAGAUAUCGGGAGGAACACCGGUGGCGAAGGCGGCGACCUGGGUAGAUACUGACGCUGAGGUGCGAAAGCGUGGGGAGCAAACAGG
rnacentral:rRNA from 1 species